AGCUUUAACAUGCAGUCGAACGGCAGCGCGGGGCAACCUGGCGGCGAGUGGCGAACGGGUGAGUAAUAUAUCGGAACGUACCCAGAAGUGGGGGAUAACGUAGCGAAAGUUACGCUAAUACCGCAUACGAUCUACGGAUGAAAGUGGGGGACCUUCGGGCCUCAUGCUUUUGGAGCGGCCGAUAUCUGAUUAGCUAGUUGGUGAGGUAAAGGCCCACCAAGGCGACGAUCAGUAGCUGGUCUGAGAGGACGACCAGCCACACUGGAACUGAGACACGGUCCAGACUCCUACGGGAGGCAGCAGUGGGGAAUUUUGGACAAUGGGCGCAAGCCUGAUCCAGCAAUGCCGCGUGAGUGAAGAAGGCCUUCGGGUUGUAAAGCUCUUUUGUCAGGGAAGAAACGGUCCAGGCUAAUACCUUGGGCUAAUGACGGUACCUGAAGAAUAAGCACCGGCUAACUACGUGCCAGCAGCCGCGGUAAUACGUAGGGUGCAAGCGUUAAUCGGAAUUACUGGGCGUAAAGCGUGCGCAGGCGGUUUUGUAAGUCUGACGUGAAAGCCCCGGGCUCAACCUGGGAAUUGCGUUGGAGACUGCAAGGCUUGAAUCUGGCAGAGGGGGGUAGAAUUCCACGUGUAGCAGUGAAAUGCGUAGAGAUGUGGAGGAACACCGAUGGCGAAGGCAGCCCCCUGGGUCAAGAUUGACGCUCAUGCACGAAAGCGUGGGGAGCAAACAGGAUUAGAUACCCUGGUAGUCCACGCCCUAAACGAUGUCUACUAGUUGUCGGGUUUUAAUUAACUUGGUAACGCAGCUAACGCGUGAAGUAGACCGCCUGGGGAGUACGGUCGCAAGAUUAAAACUCAAAGGAAUUGACGGGGACCCGCACAAGCGGUGGAUGAUGUGGAUUAAUUCGAUGCAACGCGAAAAACCUUACCUACCCUUGACAUGGAAAGGAAUCCUGGAGAGAUCCGGGAGUGCCCGAAAGGGAACCCUUCACACAGUGCUGCAUGGGCUGUCGUCAGCUCGUGUCGUGAGAUGU
rnacentral:rRNA from 1 species